CAGCUUAUUAUUCUCUCGAGUGCAGUAAACAACGGGGCCUGGACGCCGUUGGGAUCGUGGCGGAGCCAAGUCCACCACACUCGCCAGUCGCCACCUUCCCAGCAGCAAGCCGGACCUGUACUGUGCGCUCAAUCCUAGUCUUCGCUCGUGUCAACGCGGGCCAUCUCCUUCCGAAUCGCCGUAAACUGAUACGCACAAAAAUACGUGCAAGCACAUAAGUAUAUACAAGCACAAUUUGCAAAGGAAGCUUCGAAACAGAGGGGAGAAGCUAAUUCCACUUCAGCUGCAAGCACAUCUAAGGACUGUGUCAUCAGAACUGGGGCUGCAAAGGAUAAAGGAAUUGCAAAAAAGCAGAGGACAUGACAAGCUGGGCAUGUCAAUUUCUCAGUGAAAAUUGUCAUUUUGUUGUUGCCACAUAGUUGGGAAUGUUAACUAUCAAGUGAUGUCUGCUACACAACUGUUAUUUUGUUUUAUUUUUCUACAGAUAGAAAACUGUCAUUUUGUCACAGGUUGGGCACGUCAGACUCUGCUGCUAGUCAACUUUUAUGUCCGAGUUUCAAAAGUUAACUCUGAAUGUUAUGUUUGGAUGUACACUGUUACCUUUGAAUCUCUCCUUGUAUGCAUAUUACUCAUGCUCUUAAUCUCUCAAUAUUGACGGGCACUUAAUCUCUCAA